AGGAAAAUAGUUCAGUUGGUAGAACGUUAGUUUCCAAAACUAAAGGUCGGGGGUUCAAUUCCCUCUUUUCCUG
rnacentral:tRNA from 1 species